UCAGAGUCAUUAAAUCAGUUUUUCUAUUGUGUGUUCAUUGGAGGUACUUAAACCACCUUAGACAGUGUGAAUAUAAGAAUAUCAUCAC